rnacentral:sRNA from 1 species
AUAAAUUGAAAUUUUGUCUAAUUUGGUCUCAAUUUUGAUUUUAGUUUUGGAUUGUGUUCUUUGCUAUUCAAAAUUCUUAAGAGUAAUUUGGUCUCAACAAUAUCUUAAACUUUAUAUGAUCCGAUUUAAUCCAAACCGUUCAAUAAAAUUAAUUUCUAUCAAUCUAAACCGUUCAACAAAAAUAAGUAAAUAACAACCAAAAAAAAA